AAUAUUGGACAAUGGGGGCAACCCUGAUCUAGCCAGGCCGCGUGUGUGAAGAAGGACAUCGGAUUGUAAAGCACUUCAUGUGGGGAGGAAGGGCCUUAGGUUACUACCCAGAAGUUUUGACGUUACCAACAGAAUAAGCUCCGGCUAACUCUGUGCUAGCCGCCGCGGUAAUACAGAGGGCGCAAGCGUUAAACCGAAUUACUGGGCGUAAAGCGCGCGUAGGUGGUUCAGUAAGAUGGGUGUGAACUCCCCGGGCUUAACCUGGGAACUGCUUUCAUAACUGCUGAGCUAGAGUACGGUAGAGGGUAGUGGAAUUUCCUGUGUAGCGGUGAAAUGCGUAGAUAUAAGAAGGAACACCAGUGACGAAGGCGACUACCUGGACUGAUACUGACACUGAGGUGCGAAAGCGUGGGGAGCAAAC
rnacentral:rRNA from 1 species